AUUGAACGCUGGCGGCAGGCCUAACACAUGCAAGUCGAACGGUAGCAGGAAGAAGCUUGCUUCUUUGCUGACGAGUGGCGGACGGGUGAAUAAUGUCUGGGAAACUGCCUGAUGGAGGGGGAUAACUACUGGAAACGGUAGCUAAUACCGCAUAACGUCGCAAGACCAAAGAGGGGGACCUUCGGGCCUCUUGCCAUCGGAUGUGCCCAGAUGGGAUUAGCUAGUAGGUGGGGUAACGGCUCACCUAGGCGACGAUCCCUAGCUGGUCUGAGAGGAUGACCAGCCACACUGGAACUGAGACACGGUCCAGACUCCUACGGGAGGCAGCAGUGGGGAAUAUUGCACAAUGGGCGCAAGCCUGAUGCAGCCAUGCCGCGUGUAUGAAGAAGGCCUUCGGGUUGUAAAGUACUUUCAGCGGGGAGGAAGGGAGUAAAGUUAAUACCUUUGCUCAUUGACGUUACCCGCAGAAGAAGCACCGGCUAACUCCGUG
rnacentral:rRNA from 1 species